ensembl:snRNA U6 U6 spliceosomal RNA
GUGCUUUCUUCAGCAGCACAAAUCCUAAAAUUGGAACGCUGCAGAGAUUAGCAUGGUCCCAUGAGCAAGUAUGACAUGCAAAUUCAUGAAGCAUUCCAUAUUUUU